GCUGGAGGAGGGUGCUGCUGCUGGAGGAGGGUGCUGCUGCUGAAGGAGGCUGGUGCUGGCAACGGCUGCAGGUGAUGACUGCUGAAAGAAGAGGAGGCUGGAGGCUGCUGACGGUGGACCGGGAAUGGAGAUGCCAAGUACAUCGAUGGCAACGAAUAAGGUGUUUGGCAGUGGCCUAGAUGUUAUGACCUUCGGUGCAGAGGUCAUGGCAUGAGGGAAGGUUGAUGUCCAGCAACAUGGCUUCUUGUUCCAGCUGUGACACUGCAUUUGAGGACUCCAUGAGGGAAUCGCUCGUCCUCACACGGAACAGCUGCUCCACGUUCUGAACAAGGGUGAAAACCUCAUCAGAUGGACGUUGCCUCAUUAGAUCCUCCACGUGAGCCCGGUCACAACUGGCCCUUGGCAGUCUGGUCCCUGGAGCACCUGACCCUGGCAAACUGGCCUCUUCAUAGCUGACCCCUGACUGACUGGCUCCUGGCACACUGAUCUCUGGUGUGGUCAUCAUUCCUGACAUUAACAGCUGGAGGCAUACUCCUUGACGUGGAUGUCCUCCUUUUCGGCUUAGGCCGAUGUAUAAAUACUGUUGGAACAGCAUCUGGCCUCAACCUCAAAUUUCCUCCUGAUUUGUUGCCAAUAUAUUGGUCGUCUUCAAAGUGUACCUGUAGGGAAGCCAUACAUUCG